UUGUUGGUAAGGUAAAAGCUUACCAAGGCUUCGAUCAGUAGCUGGUCUGAGAGGACGACCAGCCACACUGGGACUGAGACACGGCCCAGACUCCUACGGGAGGCAGCAGUGGGGAAUUUUGGACAAUGGGGGCAACCCUGAUCCAGCCAUGCCGCGUGAGUGAAGAAGGCCUUCGGGUUGUAAAGCUCUUUCAGCCGGAACGAAACGGUUACGGAUAAUACCCGUGACUACUGACGGUACCGGAAGAAGAAGCACCGGCUAACUACGUGCCAGCAGCCGCGGUAAUACGUAGGGUGCAAGCGUUAAUCGGAAUUACUGGGCGUAAAGCGUGCGCAGGUGGUUUUGUAAGUCAGAUGUGAAAGCCCCGGGCUCAACCUGGGAACUGCGUUUGAAACUACAAGACUAGAGUGUGGCAGRGGGGGGUGGAAUUCCGCGUGUAGCAGUGAAAUGCGUAGAGAUGUGGAGGAACACCGAUGGCGAAGGCAGCCCCCUGGGUUAACACUGACACUCAGGCACGAAAGCAUGGGGAGCAAACAGGAUUAGAUACCCUGGUAGUCCAUGCCCUAAACGAUGUCAACUAGUUGUCGGGCCUUUACGGGCUUGGUAACGUAGCUAACGCGUGAAGUUGACCGCCUGGGGAGUACGAUCGCAAGAUUAAAACUCAAAUGAAUUGACGGGGACCCGCACAAGCGGUGGAUUAUGUGGAUUAAUUCGAUGCAACGCGAAAAACCUUACCUACCCUUGACAUGUAUCGAAGCCCGCAGAAAAGCGGGGGUGCCCGAAAGGGAACGAUAACACAGGUGCUGCAUGGCUGUCGUCAGCUCGUGUCGUGAGAUGUUGGGUUAAGUCCCGCAACGAGCGCAACCCUUGUCAUUAAUUGCCAUCAUUUAGUUGGGCACUUUAAUGAGACUGCCGG
rnacentral:rRNA from 1 species